rnacentral:rRNA from 1 species
UACGAAGGGGGCUAGCGUUGUUCGGAAUCACUGGGCGUAAAGCGCACGCAGGCGGAUUGAUAAGUCAGGGGUGAAAUCCCGGGGCUCAACCUCGGAAUUGCCUUUGAUACUGUCUGUCUUGAGUUCGGGAGAGGUUGGCGGAAUUCCUAGUGUAGAGGUGAAAUUCGUAGAUAUUCGCAAGAACACCAGUGGCGAAGGCGGCGACCUGGUCCAUUACUGACGCUGAGGCGCGACAGCGUGGGGAGCAAACAGG